GCCUCCCGCGGAUUCCGGGCCCCAGACCCGCACCUCGGAAGCGUGCGGGGGGUCUUGCGGACCCGGCAGGGCCAGGCCGCCACCGCCACUGCAGUGAGCACACUCGCGUUCACGCAGGCAGCCAAAUCCAUCAAAGCCCGGCGCCCGGCUCCGAGCACAGGCGGCAGGGUUCCCCGCGCGCCCCUCCCUCGAGCUUGCCCACCCUCCAGUGCCAGCUGCAAUCCUGCGGCACCGGGCGGGGAGGGGAGGAGGCCGCCGCAGAAGCGCUGCCGCCGCCGGCUCGCCUCUCCCGGGCCCCAGCAGCAGCAGAGGGCAGCGCCCAGAGCUGCUGCGCCAAAAAGGGCACGAGAGCCGGCCCGGCCCCCGCCCGGGCGCUCGGCCGCUUUCCACCGUCUGGAUCCAGGGCCCCUGCCUUCCCCCUCUCCAUAAAAGGAGGGGGAGUGAGUCUCUAGGGAGAGGUGGGGCUGGCUUAAGGGCGCGUCUGGGGCACUCACCUGGCGGCUGCCACGCGCCCCCGCCCAGGAUCCGAAGCCUGGGCACCUGAAAAAGGAACCUCCACCCACAUUUCGAGGUGGGAACGAACCCUGGUCAGGGAGGGGACUGCAGCCUGCCUCAUCUCUCUCUUGUGAACCCUGCACCCCCCGAGUCCCCACUCCCUCGCGGAAGGCUGGGCUGCACCCUGAGCUGGGAACGGAGAGGUGGAAAGAAGAGAAAGGAGACGCUCCUGAGGAGCUCCUGGGUUCUGCGUCGGGAGCCGCGGGGCUCACAGAGCGCCACCUCCGGCCACGGCUCAGCACAGGGCGCAACGCGGGGGAGCGACGCGCGCAGACUAGGUCUGAGCAGGGCUGAGCCGCUCCCCCGGGGCCAAAAAGCGGGUGUGCCCAGGCGCGGUGGAUAUCGCCAGUCUAGACCAAGUGGGGUUGGACCCGAACGGUAGCACCAGAUGCCUGCCAGUGUCCCUCCCUCGAGGGGGCGUACUUCCCAGCCCUCCACCCUCGCCGCGACCCCGCCGGGUGGUCAGAAAGGCAGAACAAGAGAAAACUUGGACACGUUGAGAAGCACCUGAAAACCAGGCCUGAUCCAUCCAGAUGGAACCUUCUGCGACUUUGGAGAGGCAACCCACUGGAUGGUUUCUGGAAGGCGACCGAAAGCGCACUGCCUGGACCCAGGUGGAGCCCUCACCUUCUUAUCCUGAGAGCUGUGCUCAUCAUGUCUCGCUGAGCCCCGGGCUCCUCGAGAGCAGAGGGGACCCCAGGACACCUCGUGGGGGUUCGAGGACCCGAUGUGACAGUGGGUGUGGGAAUCCAGGAGGAAGGUCGCGUUGCAUUUCGGAUGGGGUGCCGCACCCUCCGGACCCCAACCCCCUCACGGAGGCCGCUGGUUCCCAGGAAUCGUUCUUGGACGGGCGCUUCCCUGUGCUCCCUUAUCCGCCCUGCGCUUCACGGACACCCAGCUGGAGACAAGGGCGGAGCAGGGGGCUAUCUGGGGACGCGGAAGGGGGCGCCCUGGGCGGCAGUCUGAGUGUAUAGGGGCCAGGGUGCACCACUCCGACGCAGGAGCCGCGGGGCGCAUGGCGCAGGCUUCUCUCUAAUCGCUGGCCGCUAUUAAAAAUAAAACUGCGACCCGUCGUCAUAGCGACCACAACAACAGUGGCCGCCGCGCGGUGGCUAGAACUCGUAUGGCCAGGCUACAGCGGCCUGGGGGACGCAGGCACAGCGCCCUGAACUCCCAAGGUACCGUGGUGCGAGACUAGGACCCCCUUCCCCGCCCCAUUCCCCUCCUCCAGAUCCUCGGAAGAUAGGAAAAAGCCGAACCCUAGACGCCCAGGUUUCUGAAACCUGGAGAUGAAGGCACCGCAGGACGUAACCGAGAGAUGGUGGCCUUGGGCGUGAACCAGGCCGGGGGUGGGGGGGGCUCCUUCCCCCCCGCCCAGUCUUCCUCCCCUGACUCCCGCUCAUUGGAACUCCAAUGUGCCCUUUUCAGGCCCUGGAGAAGGGAGCUGAGUGGGUAGGUGGGUUCCGGAUCUCCGCCGCCAGAGGAGACGGUGCAACCGCAGCCAGGCCGGCGGGGUUUUGCGCGCGGGGGCCGCAGCACCUGUCCCGCCAGCACUGUUGGUGGGAGUGGUCACAUGCUUUCUCCUGGCUGGGAAUCGAGUUUCACUUCCAGCCGCUAUUAGGCGGUUCACACGGUUCACUGCAAACAUUUGAUAAUGAGGCUAAAUAUACUUUAGAGUUGGAGGAGGCGUGGGCGGCCGCUGCCCAAGCGCGUGGGUGCGGCGCUGCAGGCUCUGCGGGGCAUCCCCGCCCAGGCUCGGGAGACACAGGCGCCAAACCGAGGUGCAGUGCGGGACUCCUGAGCAAGACGCGUCUCCACACCGCCCCCAAGACAACUUGACCCCGGCUGCAGGCACGCUUGCAGGAGGCUCUUCGCGCUACUGUCUAGGGCAGAAGUAGAAGCGGACGCAGCGGGGAGCUCCGGAGGACGGGGAGGAGGUGUGAGUGAGAAGAGAAGGUGCACCUGGUGGCCCGGGAUGUCCGGUCGCCCCCGAGUUGGUGCUUCCGGCCUAUCUCGGGCGUCCCUGGCGCGCCCCGACGUGCCCGUGGGCCCAUAAUUAAGGUGUCAGGUGCUCCAAGUAGGCCGAGUGGGGGCGCAACCAGGGUGACCGGCCGGCGUCUGCCCCUUGCUGUGUUCCCUCCCAACACAAUCCAAGACCAAAGGCACUCAAGGAAGGGCUGGCAGAGCCUUGGCCAUUCCUCGGGUAGGAAUCGUUCUUGGACGGGCUCUUCCCUGUGCUCCCUGACGGGGUGGGGGCACGAAAACCAACCUUUAUUAAGAAACAGGCAGAGGCCAGUGCUGUGUGCAGGUGUAGUCUCAUUUUACCUUAAAGCCCGCCUCACACCAUCCUCACUGCUUGGCCACUGUCCUUCCAGGCUUGGCACCAAUAGACAUUCAAUUAUUGCCGUCAUUAUUGUCAUUUAUUAGUAGUGAUGACUAACAAUUACUGAGGGCUUGGACUGUGCCAGGCUGGUGCCAAGCCCUUUCGCCAUAUAAUUUCAUUGCACACCCAAGUGGCAACCCCCAGGCUUUCAUCCCUUCCCAUUUUGCAGGUGAGAAAGUGAGGCAUUUGCAAGCAGUGAGGCUCCCCCGGUUCCUAGGCUCCUCCGUGAAUACACAACCUGAAUUACCUGGUAUCACUUAGGGUUCACAGGCAGGAAGUGAAGGUUGAUGUGGCCAACCAGCAAUGCAGGACUGGAGUUCACACCUACUAGGGCCCCAGUCCCAAGGGGCAAGAUCCUGCUCUGCCCUUGACCUUGCCUCCUUGGUGUGAAUUGUCCCUAGCCUGUCCUCAGCUCGGUUCCUCAUCUGGAAAAAAGGGAGGUGGACAGUUGUCCCCCUACACCAUGAUGUCCCCAGUAGGUCAGCUCCCUGCAGUCCCAUAGAGGCCCCAGCACAUACCUACAAGCCACAGGGCCCUGACUGUGUGUGUGUGUGGAGGGGGGGGGAAUUGGAGUGCAGAAUCCAGGCCUAUGCUCCUGUGUCAGCAAAGGUCUCAGAAAAACUGGCAGUGGUGUGACACCAAGUCCCCAUUUAUCUCUGGGCAAAGUUUCUCGGUUCUGGCAAUUAAGCCAGAAGCAGCUUCAACCACCGUGGGCUCACUCCUUGAAGAUCAAACAUGCCGGGUGCAGGCGCUAAUUAAGUCAUUACCUUAAGCCCUGAGGCUAAGGAUCAGGCCUUUCCAGUUCAGGCUCCCCAGAGAGACAGAGAUAAGCCUCUCCAGAGUGGGAAGGCACCUCAGUGUCUCCGCGCCCUUCUUAACUCCCUAGUAAGUAUUUUUAUUUUCUCUUUUAAAUACACCAACAGAAAUGAAAUUUACUGUAGCACACAAUCAUUUGGGGAAUGAAGACCUCUAUUAGGAGACAUUUCGUAGGUUGAGUGGGGGGGGGGGGGCGAGUCCAGAGUCUAGGUCACAUCCAGGACAGGAGCAUCCGCCAGGUGUGGCCCCAGAGCAUUUAAAUGCAGCUGGCCAGAAUUCUGUUGAAAGUGCAAAACACACACCGGCUUUAGGAGACUCCAUGCAAAGGUCGAGAUGUGAAAUUUUAUUUUAAUUACAGUUUGAAAAUAAUAUUUUGGAUAUACGAAGUUAAAUAAACAACAUGAUUCCAGUUCA